AGUUCUUCAAUUUUAACAUUUUAGUUAAAAAUUUUAUCUAUAGAAUAGCUUUAAAAAUUAGUAAGUUUAAUUAAAUUUUUAAAUAGAGAUAUUAGAAUAAUUUAACUUUAUAAUAUUGAAAGUUAAGAAAAUAUUAAUUAAAUAAAGUUAUUUUUAUACAGAGGUAUAAUUUAUAGAUUUUUUUUUUGGUAUUUUCUUAGUUAUAAUUUGAAAGGGACGGUAGGGGAUGACAAGCAGAAGAGACGAUUACCGAA
rnacentral:lncRNA from 1 species